GACAGAGGUGCCAAGCGUUAGGCGGAAUCACUGGGCUUAAAGCGUGUGUAGGCGGAACGUUAAGUGCCUUGUGAAAUCCCACGGCUCAACCGUGGAACUGCUGGGCAUACUGGCGUUCUUGAGCCAGCCAGGGGUCGUCGGAACAAACGGUGGAGCGGUGAAAUGCGUAGAGAUCGGCAGGAACACCCAGGGGGAAACCAGCGGACUGGGCAUUGGCUGACGCUCAAGUGCGACAGCGUGGGGAGCGAACCGG
rnacentral:rRNA from 1 species